rnacentral:rRNA from 1 species
GAUCCUGGCUCAGAAUCAACGCUGGCGGCGUGCCUAACACAUGCAAGUCGCACGAGAAAGCGGGCUUCGGCCUGCAAGUAAAGUGGCGCACGGGUGAGUAACACGUGAAUGAUCUACCUCCGAGUGGGGAAUAACCUAGAGAAAUCUGGGCUAAUACCGCAUAACACUUACGAGUCAAAGCAGCAAUGCGCUUGGAGAGGAGUUCGCGGCAGAUUAGUUAGUUGGCAGGGUAAUGGCCUACCAAGACGAUGAUCUGUAUCCGGCCUGAGAGGGCGCACGGACACACUGGAACUGAAACACGGUCCAGACUCCUACGGGAGGCAGCAGUGGGGAAUUUUGCGCAAUGGGGGAAACCCUGACGCAGCAACGCCGCGUGGAGGAUGAAAUCCCUUGGGAUGUAAACUCCUUUCGAUCGGGACGAUUAUGACGGUACCGGAAGAAGAAGCCCCGGCUAACUUCGUGCCAGCAGCCGCGGUAAUACGAGGGGGGCAAGCGUUGUUCGGAAUUAUUGGGCGUAAAGGGCGCGUAGGCGGUUUGACAAGUCUGAUGUGAAAUCUCUGGGCUCAACCCAGAGUCUGCAUUAGAAACUGUCGGGCUUGAGUAUGGGAGAGGUGAGUGGAAUUUCCGGUGUAGCGGUGGAAUGCGUAGAUAUCGGAAGGAACACCUGUGGCGAAAGCGGCUCACUGGACC